rnacentral:rRNA from 1 species
GCGCAUCCAUGCACGGCGGGGAGAAUGUGACAUUGGAACUCCUCGAAUCAGGUAGGGAUACCCGCUGAACUUAAGCAUAUCAAUAAGCGGAGGAAAAGAAACCAACAGGGAUUGCCCCAGUAACGGCGAGUGAAGCGGCAGCAGCUCAAAUUUGAAAUCUGGGGCCAAGGCCUCCGAGUUGUAAUUUGGAGAGGCAUCUUCUGGGGGGAGCGCCGGCCCAUGUUCCUUGGAACAGGACGUCACAGAGGGUGAGAAUCCCGUGCGAGGCAGGUGGCCUCCUCCCAUGUGGAGGGCCUUCGACGAGUCGAGUUGUUUGGGAAUGCAGCUCCAAGUGGGUGGUAAAUCUCAUCUAAAGCUAAAUACCGGCGGGAGACCGAUAGCGCACAAGUAGAGUGAUCGAAAGAUGAAAAGCACUUUGAAAAUAGAGUCAAAAAGUACGUGAAAUUGUUGAAAGGGAAGCGCUUGAGACCAGACUCGGGCCCGGGCAAACACCGCGCUCUUCGGGGCCGUGCAAUUGCCUGGGCCUGGGCCAGCAUCAGUUGGUGUGGCGGGACAAAGGGGCGGGCAAUGUGGCUCCCCACGGGAGUGUUAUUAGGCCCGCCCUCAAUGCCGCCGACGUCGACUGAGGACCGCGC